UGAGGGACGAAAGCUGGGGGCACGAACCGGAUUAGAUACCCGGGUAGUCCCAGCCGUAAACGAUGUUCGCUAGGUGUCAGGGGCGGUGCGACCGCUUCUGGUGCCGUAGGGAAGCCGUGAAGCGAACCACCUGGGAAGUACGGCCGCAAGGCUGAAACUUAAAGGAAUUGGCGGGGGAGCACUACAACGGGUGGAGCCUGCGGUUUAAUUGGACUCAACGCCGGAAAACUCACCGGGGGCGACAGCAAAAUGUAGGUCAAGCUAAAGACUUUACCUGAAUCGCUGAGAGGAGGUGCAUGGCCGUCGUCAGUUCGUACUGUGAAGCAUCCUGUUAAGUCAGGCAACGAGCGAGACCCACGCCAACAGUUGCUAGCUUGUUCUCCGGAAUGAAGAGGACACUGUUGGGACCGCCUCUGCUAAAGAGGAGGAAGGAAUGGGCAACGGUAGGUCAGCAUGCCCCGAAUUAUCCGGGCUACACGCGGGCUACAAUGGGCAGGACAAUGGGUAUCGACACCGAAAGGUGAAGGCAAUCUCUUAAACCUGUCCUAAG
rnacentral:rRNA from 1 species